AUGUCCCCUGACAUGGAGACCACCGCCACCGUCGGCAUGAAGCCCAUGGUGCUCGCUGCACCGACCACCAAGGCCAGCGCCGGCGGGUUCGAGGCGGCCGUCGAGGGUGGCGGCUGCGACUGCAACACCUGCAAGUGCGGCAGCAGCUGCGGCUGCAGCUGCUGCAGCUGCAACUGAGCCAUCCCGGCGAUGGCGCACGAGGAGGAAGGAGGAGACAGAGACAACAACCACCCCCCAGCGUACUAAACUAUGUAGCGGCGUCUAAAUAAGAUCCUGUCAACUGCGUGCGUGCACCGCCAUUAUUCAUGCAUGGUCGCCGGCCUCGUCUCCGUCUCCGAUCCUGGGGUUGUUCAUCUCCAACGUCUCGCGGUUUGACGAUUGCCGUCGUCGUCGAUCCUAUGUCCGCCUCGUGCCUGAUCUAAUAUAUGUGUUUUUUUUCUGCAUUACCUGUGCUUUCUCUGUCUGUCUGUCUGUCUGUCUGUCUGUCUGUCUGUCUGACGGGCCCAUGCGUCAGCGUCACUGCUUGCUUCUUUCUGUGUCUGAUUCUGACGAGAUGCUGCAAAAAAAUCUAAGAACCUCUUUGCAGUGCUACAAAAUUCUGAGAUGGAAAAAAUAUGUGUGAAAGCGAAAACAGGGCUGCAUCACUCAAAGUUGGUGCUAAACAGCGGCACACUCCUGCAAGAGCUCUAACCACAAGUCCAUGGCUCAUGGCAGUAUUGUUAAUCAUAGCUCUGGCAUGCAUGAUUAUAAUUUAUACUAGAAUAGAGGAAGGAGAAAAAAAACAGGAGCAAAAUGAGGAACAGAAAGUUACUAGCGAGUAGCGACUAAUGGCGCUGCUUUGAACGAACGCAAGAUUUUGCAGAAUGCAGAGUACCCUGAAAUUUGGAAAAUCAAUAUGACCAGCUACAGUUUCAUGCUACUAUUCGUGAUUUUUCUCUUUUCCUUUAGAUAAUGGAAAAUUGAUAUCUAAGUAACUGAGCAAAAAAAGGAAAGGAUAUGAAGUAUCCUAGGUCAGCACAGUAAGUCUCUGAAAAGACUUUUCAGAAUGCCGAGUACACUGAAAUUUGGAACAUCAACGUGACCAACUACAGUUUCAGGUUACUGUUCUGAGUGUUCUGGCUUUUUGUCUUCUCCCUUUAGAUAAUGGAAUAUUGAUAUAUAUAUAUAUUGUUUUGAAACAAUGGAAUAUUGAUAUCUAAGUAACUGUGCCAAAAAAGAAAGAAAGAUAUGAGUAUCUUUUUCCACUUGGCCAGCACAGUUAGAGACUGAAAAAGAUUUUGCAGCAGAAUGCAGAGUAGCCUGAAAUUCGAGGCAUCAACAUUACUAUAUUUUCAGGCUACUAUUCUGGAUUUUCUCUUUUCCUUUAGAUAAUAGAAUAUCAAUAUCUUUUUUAACGGAAUAAUGGAAUAGUGAUAUCUAACUGGGCCAGAAAGAACAAACACAUGAGUAUCUUUUUCCAUUAUGGUGUGAUGGUGUGAACUCUGAACAAUCUUCAAAACUUGAAAUUUGUUUUUUUUUCUUUUUCAGAGAGAGAGAGAGAGAGAGAGCUCAUCAUUUUAUUUUUUUUGUGUAAAAGAAACAGCUCAACAUAUGCUUUCACUUGAAUGGACCUAAGAAUAGACAGAAAGAAAAAAGUGAAAGCGGAAAUAGAUGAAGGAAAACAAAAGUUGCAGAAUCUGGGAUGAGUAUGCAGUCUAAUCAUGUCUAAGCAUCCAAUACAAAUGCAUAGUGGUGUAUAAAAACUAUAUUCUGUAAGCACCUCUCUCUUUAAGUCAAUUGCGCACUUGUAAGUUGUAUAAGUACUAUAAAAUCAUUCCUGUAGAGCACAGUAAUUGCAAUGAUCCUCUGAGUCUCUUUCAAUAAAAAAAACAUCUGUGUCUUGUUCUUUUCGCUCUAUGUUUAAAUUGGGUUUUCAUUUGGAACUAGGAAUCUGAAAAAAAAUAGAAAAGGAAAGACUCUGCAAGAGUUUGUAUUAAAAUCCUCAGAAGUCCUUCAGCUAGGAUUUGACACUCACCCAGUAUGUAAUCUAAAAAAUAAUUUAUGGGGAGUUAAUUAGCUAGGAUUUGUCACUCCAUCGGUUGGCACUUUCACAGUUUUAUCUGUUGUAUGAUUGUCAUAUGCUAAUCCUGAUGUCAUCAAAACGCAAAUAGGAUGAUGAUCUUGAGAUGCCACUAAAACAGAGUGGAAACAAUCCGACCUCAGUUUUUUAUGCAUAGCUUAACGAACAAGAUUAAACCGGAAUGGUUAAGAUUGAGGUCGUCAUCAACAGUUCAGUACCAUUUCAGGUACUAUGACUUCUGAACAGCCUCUUCCGUAUUAUACUCAACAGAUCUGCAAAUAGUCAAAUAUCAAACAAUUCCCUUGCUAUCAUGGUACUACUAGCAUUCUUUUCUAUCCAACGACGUCACAAGAACCACAGCUAGAUCAUGCAUGUUGCAAGCUAAGAUCCCCCAGGAUAUUCCCGGCGAUUCAUUGGCCCCGGCAUACACAGACUAGUAUUUCACCUCAUUGUAUACUGCUACACGUAUGGGUGCGUAUAUUGUAUACAAAUACAAGUGAGUAGUCCACUUGCUGCCCUCGAAUAAACUACGUCUGAACUUUUUCAUGUAUGUCAUGUGUGCAAGUAGUGCCAUGUAUAUAUACAAAAAUACUCCGGCCUGGGGAUUGACCUGAUGUUGCCUUCAUCCAAUCACCAGCUGCACAAAAGAAAAUGGCUUAUUUCAUCAAAAUAAAAUUGGCUUAGCUCUUGCACUGCAGUCUGCAGGUGCUGGUGCUCCUGUUAAUGGUCAUGAACUUUCUAGGUUACCAAAGUCAGCGCAGGUGUAUGUAGUAUGUAUGUAUAUAUGUGCAUGCAUAUGCAUAUGCAUACGGGGGGAAGAAGAUGAUGUCUUGAAGAUGUGGACAUGGCGUAGCAACAGCUGGUGACCUCGAUCAAAGAAAUGCACCAAUUUGUAAUGCAACUUGUUUAACAGAGCAACUUGUUCCAACCCUCGCUGUGUUUCAAGUGGAGUUUCAGUGAUGAUUGAGCCAUCUGAAAGAUUGGCUCCUGCCUCCUCCUCCUAUUCUUUUAGGAGCUACAAGAUGUACCAAAUCAAGUAUUCAUCUACCUUUAAUAAAUAUAAUGGCUACAUGUGGUUGCAGAGGCUAAAACGGUUCCAUUUCCUAAAAGGAUUUUCACUAAAUAUUACUCAACUAAUUUGUUGAAAAAUACUCUUUGGUAGACAGACAUUGUGGACAACUAUAGCCCCUUCACUUCAUAGGAUUGUAGCUGAGCGGGCAGGGCAUAUGAUUGAAGUUGGAUGCAACUGUCUGAGCUUAUCCGUCAAAUCUACCAGUCAUUCAAAAAUAUUUUUCUCUCAUAAUAAAUCAACGAAUAGUAUCUUCAGCCAUGACUUUUCAGCCAAGCGAACUAAGUCAAUAAAUGGGAUACAAUAAAGCUAACAUAAUUCAAGAAAAAGGUUUUAUAUAAAACACAAAUUGAACACAUAUAGAGAUAUGAUGCAAAGGGAAAAAUAUUCAUACAGAAUUGAAAAGCAUGUAAACUAGCUAGUAAUCAAAUUAUCUCAACUAGAUAAAAUAUCAGGGGGAGAGAUGGAGCCCAAACAUUUCUUUAUUAAAUGUGGACCCUAAAUUUAUCCAUAAAACUUUUAAUACUUAGAUCACUUUUAAAACAGCCAUGCCUCUUUUAAAAAUAUAAGCAAUUUGGAGAAGAAUAUAACUAACAUAUACUGAUAUAAACUGGUAUUAUAUACUAAAAUAAGCAGCCGAGAAUUCUGAUUUUGUUUUCAUCUAAUGGUGAGGAUUCAUAUUAAAGUCAAACUUUUCCUCAUGAAAAGUAUUGUACAAGUUUCUGAAAAAAUACACAUGAUAUUUGAGUGUUUCUCCCUUCCCAGAGACCUAAGCUUUCGUCUCUUUUCCUCUUCAUCACAACAAUUUUGGCAAGAUCCACCCCCAGUGUAUUGUAUCUUAUUUAGGGUCGGGUUUCUUCAUAGGGUUAGGAUUUUACUAGAAGAAAAAAGACAUUCCCGUGUAAAUGUGAAUUUAGGGUUUAUUUGGGAAAAAAAGGAAAUUUAGGUUUGAAUUUUGCGACAAUGCCUUGAGAAAUUUAGGAUAGAAAUUUCAAGGAUUUGGAGUUUUUUUUUAAAAAAAUAAUUUAAGAAAUAUAGAACAUGUUUGGAUCUAAUAGCACUAAAAAAAUAGUAGCCAAAAUUAAUACUAGUGAACACAAAUAGACCUGCUAAUGUUCCACAACCGGGUUUGGACAGCUGAUCGUUUAGCAAAGAGGAACCUUCCCCAUCCUGAGGCUUGUCCAUUUUGUGAUCAAGAAGAAGAAACAAUAAAUCAUUUGUUAGUGGGCUGCGUUUUUGCUCGACAAGUCUGGUUUCUGGUUUUCCAACACUUGGGGCUCCUGCAGUUGGCUCCACAACCUACGGUGACUCAUUUCUCUGGGUGGUGGAAGAAAACAACUUCUGAUGUCCCCAAGGAAGCACGUAAAGGCCUCAAUUCCUUGAUUAUUUUGGUCGCCUGGGAGAUCUGGAAGCACCGUAAUACUUGUGUCUUCGACAACAUGAGGCCAAAUGUUCAGGAAGUCCUUAGGGCCAUUAGCUCGGAGGGAGGGAUCUGGUGCUCAGCGGGGGCAUCCAAACUCCAGGAGCUGGUCCUUAGGUUGCCUUCUGAGGCAUAGGGUCUAGAGGUUAUGGUCGUGUUUUGGCCUCUGAGUGGCGAUUCUGUUUUCAGUUGUACCUUGUGUGGGGGUGUGUGAGUUGUGGGGUAUGAGUGUGUUGUUUGGGUCUCUGUGACCUUUGUAUGGGUCUCUAUGACCUUUGUACCUUUUUUGUUCCUUAAUGAAAUGACGCGCAGUUCUCCUGCGCUGUUCGAGAAAAAAAAUAGACCUGCUAAUUAUUAGCAAGACGAUUACUUAACUAUUAGUCCCAUUAGCUAGUUUAGAGUUGCUAUAAUAGUUCAUAUGCACAUUGAACUCACUAUGCAACUACCUAUUAGAAGGUUGAUCUAGAUGGUCUCCUACUGAAAAUUAGCUUUCUUAAAAAUAAUAGUUAUUAAAUGAGCUAAUAUUUAGUGUUAAUGGAUCCAAAAUAGGCCCUAGGCCUUGUUUAAAAUGUUAUUGGAUUCACCUCAAUCCACAUACGUUAGUGCAGAUUAGGUUAAAAUUUAGCUCAAGUUUCACUCCAAUCAACCAAGCACAUGUGGAUUGAUAUGAAUCCAACUACAUCUAAACAAGAUAUAAAGCGAGAGCAGGCAAAAUAUGUGACUUUUCUUUUUGCACUAUAAGCAUACGCUAAGUUUAAAACAAUUUCAAAAAAAAACUGAACGAUCAAAAUAUAUUUAUUGAGUUGGUUUCUAUGUUUUCACAAAUUGAGUGGUUUCCACCGUAUGUAUAUUUUGCCGUGUACUAUCUAUUUGGGUGCAAUUCAAACAUGGGGUUGU
rnacentral:lncRNA from 1 species